GUGUGACUCCUUUGGGAUGGAGGUAGGCAGCUAUGGAGAAGAAGAAGAAGAAGUAGAUCAUCACCAAUUCUCUUGAGCUAUUUUGCCGGGUUCAGUUUGGUUUGGUUCUAUUGGUUUCACGGUUGGACUUGGUCCCCAAAUCGAAAAACAUAGAAGGAGUGCAGCCUUGGCAUGGAAGGAUGGUGACAUCGGAACUCACAAACAAUGCCUACCGAUAACUCUUCCAGCACCUCAAAAAUUUGGUGAUUCUUCCAGCUCUCUCUUGCUUCUAUAAAAUUUGGGAAAUUUUUUUCAAUGGGGGAUUUCUAUAGUUGUAUGAAAUUUGCUUUUUUGGAUUUUAAUUUGUUGAUGGAUUUUUACAUAUGUUGUCAAAUAUACAAAG